GGAGGGUUGUCCGAGCGGCCGAAGGAGCCGGUCUUGAAAACCGGUGGGCGGCAACGUCCCGUGGGUUCGAAUCCCACACCCUCCG
rnacentral:tRNA from 1 species